rnacentral:rRNA from 1 species
AAUUUUGGACAAUGGGGGAAACCCUGAUCCAGCCAUCCCGCGUGUUUGAUGAAGGCCAUAGGGAUGUAAAUUACUUUUGUUAGAGAAGAAAAGGUAUCUCCUAACACGAGAUACUGCUGACGGUAUCUGCAGAAUCAGUACCGCCUAACUACGUGCCAGCAGCCGCGGUAAUACGUAGGGUGCAAGCGUUAAUCGGAAUUACUGGGCAUAAAGCGUGUGUAGGCGGUUCUGAAAGAAAGAUGUGAAAUCCCAGGGCUCAACCUUGGAACUGCAUGUUUAACUGACGAGCUAGAGUAUGACAGAGGAGGGUAGAAUUCCACGUGUAGCAGUAAAAUGCGUAGAUAUGUGGAGGAAUACCGAUGGCGAAGGCAGCCCCCUGGGAUAAUACUGACGCUCAGACACGAGAGCGUGGGGAGCAAACA